GAGAGGGCGAGAGAGGAAGGAAAGGUGAACAGGAGAGAUAGAGUGAGAGAGAGUCGAACGGAGACUUGGAGAGAGAGAGGUCGCACCAAGUUUAGAGAUACUCGGAGUGUAAAGUUUGGCAGAGAGCACUCCAACAGAAGGAAGGUGUCUAGAAGAGGGGGAUUCACAUAUGAAGCAUAUACAAUCUUUGACGAUGAUGGAGAGCAACGUAACACUCGGUCUAACCAACAACAGGGUGCAUGGAUAAAAGUGAAGAGCAGGAGAAGGGAUUCGAAGAAGCCCUUGUCAGAGAAUGCAAGGGGUGUAGAUGGACCACAUGCUUCCGAUCG
rnacentral:misc_RNA from 1 species